GCUGAGUGUGGUGGUUCACACCUGUAAUCCCCGCUCCUCGGGAGGCAGAAGCAGGAGGAUCACAAGUUUGGGGACUCGGCAAUAUAGUGAGACCUUGUCACAA
rnacentral:sRNA from 1 species